rnacentral:misc_RNA from 1 species
GAAACCUUUAAUGCUCAUCCUGCGAGGUGAGCAAGGAGCAGGACAUGAACCAAGCCCCGGCUCGUGCCGGUCGAAACUUCGAGGCCUUCUCGCCACGUUCUGGCGGGGAGGUUUUUUUA